rnacentral:rRNA from 1 species
CCUACGGGAGGCAGCAGUAGGGAAUCUUCCACAAUGGGCGAAAGCCUGAUGGAGCAACGCCGCGUGGGUGAAGAAGGUCUUCGGAUCGUAAAACCCUGUUGUUAGAGAAGAAAGUGCGUGAGAGUAACUGUUCACGUUUCGACGGUAUCUAACCAGAAAGCCACGGCUAACUACGUGCCAGCAGCCGCGGUCAUACGUAGGUGGCAAGCGUUAUCCGGAUUUAUUGGGCGUAAAUGGCACGCAGGCGGUCUUUUAAGUCUGAUGUGAAAGCCUUCGGCUUAACCGGAGUAGUGCAUUGGAAACUGGGAGACGUGAGUGCAGAAGAGGAGAGUGGAACUCCAUGUGUAGCGGUGAAAUGCGUAGAUAUAUGGAAGAACACCAGUGGCGAAAGCGGCUCUCUGGUCUGUAACUGACGCUGAGGUUCGAAAGCGUGGGUAGCAAACAGGAUUAGAUACCCUGGUAGUC